rnacentral:tRNA from 1 species
UGGGGAGUCGCCAAGUGGUAAGGCACCGGUCUUUGGAACCGGCAUUCGUAGGUUCGAGUCCUACCUCCCCAG